AAGGAAAUUUAUUUUGGGGGGAAUUCCAGAUAAGACUUCAGAUCUAUGUUCAACCCUCCAACUUGGAUCACAGUUUAUAACAGCACAGAUUGGACAAUCAUUAGAGGAGGAAUGUAGAGCCGGGAAAGAGGAGCCAAGAGUGUAAGAGAAAUGGCUUUUCAUUUUGAACUUCAUGUUCACUACUGCGGAUUACAUCAAAUUCAA